UACGAAGGGGGCUAGCGUUGUUCGGAUUUACUGGGCGUAAAGCGCACGUAGGCGGACUAUUAAGUCAGGGGUGAAAUCCCGGGGCUCAACCCCGGAACUGCCUUUGAUACUGGUAGUCUUGAGUUCGAGAGAGGUGAGUGGAAUUCCGAGUGUAGAGGUGAAAUUCGUAGAUAUUCGGAGGAACACCAGUGGCGAAGGCGGCUCACUGGCUCGAUACUGACGCUGAGGUGCGAAAGCCAGGGGAGCAAACGGG
rnacentral:rRNA from 1 species